rnacentral:rRNA from 1 species
AACAGGGAUUGCCCUAGUAACGGCGAGUGAAGCGGCAACAGCUCAAAUUUGAAAUCUGGCUCUUUUAGAGUCCGAGUUGUAAUUUGCAGAGGGCGCUUUGGCUUUGGCAGCGGUCCAAGUUCCUUGGAACAGGACGUCACAGAGGGUGAGAAUCCCGUACGUGGUCGCUGGCUAUUGCCGUGUAAAGCCCCUUCGACGAGUCGAGUUGUUUGGGAAUGCAGCUCUAAAUGGGAGGUACAUUUCUUCUAAAGCUAAAUAUUGGCCAGAGACCGAUAGCGCACAAGUAGAGUGAUCGAAAGAUGAAAAGCACUUUGGAAAGAGAGUCAAACAGCACGUGAAAUUGUUGAAAGGGAAGCGCUUGCAGCCAGACUUGCUUACAGUUGCUCAUCCGGGUUUCUACCCGGUGCACUCUUCUGUAGGCAGGCCAGCAUCAGUUUGGGCGGUAGGAUAAAGGUCUCUGUCACGUACCUCCUUUCGGGGAGGCCUUAUAGGGGAGACGACAUACUACCAGCCUGGACUGAGGUCCGCGCAUCUGCUAGGAUGCUGGCGUAAUGGCUGUAAGCGGCCCGUCUUGAAACACGGACCAAGGAGUCUAACAUCUAUGCGAGUGUUUGGGUGUCAAGCCCGAGCGCGUAAUGAAAGUGAACGGAGGUGGGAACCCGCAAGGGUGCACCAUCGACCGAUCCUUGAUGUCUUCGGAGGGAUUUGAGUAAGAGCAUGGGCUGUUGGGAACCGAAAGAUGGUGGAACUAUGCUUGAAUAGGGUGAAGCCAGAGGAAACUCUGGUGGAGGCUCGCACCGGUUCUGAACGUGCCAAUCGAUCCGUCAAAUUUGGGGCAUAGGGGGGCCGCA